rnacentral:rRNA from 1 species
UACGGAGGGUGCGAGCGUUGUCCGGAAUCAUUGGGCGUAAAGGGCGCGUAGGUGGCCCGGUCAGUCCGUGGUGAAAGCGCGGGGCUCAACCCUGCGUCGGCCAUGGAUACUGCCGCGGCUCGAGCACUGUAGAGGCAGGCGGAAUUCCGGGUGUAGCGGUGGAAUGCGUAGAGAUCCGGAGGAACCCCAGAGGCGAAGGCGGCAUUCUGGCUUGCAACUGACGCUCAGACACGACAGCAUGGGGAGCGAACGGG